CAUGUUUGUCCCCCAUGAGACACCGUAGACGCGGAAGCCUGUUUCACUUCCUUAAAAUCACCAGAAUUAAUCUAAGAUGGAACCCACCUUGCAGGGUGAGCUGUUUGGACAGCUUGGUAGCGAUGUCCAUGCCAUUCUUCAGCCAUGCCAGUUGUGGGUUGGGGAUACCCUCAGCAUGGCACCGGAGACUGGCCGUCACCCCUGGCUCCCGUGCCUGGCUCUCUGGGUAGACGCGGAUGACGGGAGGAACUGCAUUGUGGGAAGAAGGAAGAGAAGAAAAGAUGAAUCUAGCUCUGGGCCACCCAUGGAGGUUUCCAAACAUCAGAGAGAAGGAACCAUACACGGAUGCUCCACAUCCCUACAGCCAAUGAGGACCAAGACUGUGAAAGACAACUUCAUCAAGUCGAGGGAUACAAUUUACGUGAAUACAUACACAUACACCAAGUUAGAACAUGAACAGUCCCGGACACAAGAAUAAUGCUCAUGUGGCUUUUUUCACAAAUUGUCACCGCAAUUACUCAGUGCUGAUUAACUUGUCUAAAAACCCUGUGAUAGUAAUCAAUGUAAUAAGCAUGUAAUAACAUAUGUAAAGCCUGUAGAGAGGAGAUUUUGCUGAGUCAUCUGGCUGUAAUCAGUUGUUUUCCAUUACUCAAGCAGCUAUGCAUCAUAAAAAUAAGAAUGUGUUCUUAACUGACUUGCCUAGUUAAAUAAAGGUCAAAUAAAAUAAAUAAGCA